GGGGAAUUAGCUCAAAUGGUAGAGCGCUUCGCUAGCAUAAGAUUAGUGGGAUCGAUGCCCACAUUCUCCA
rnacentral:tRNA from 1 species